rnacentral:rRNA from 1 species
GAUGAACGCUAGCGGCAGGCUUAAUACAUGCAAGUCGAGGGGCAGCAUGGUGUAGCAAUACACUGAUGGCGACCGGCAAACGGGUGCGGAACACGUACAGAACCUUCCUUCGAGCGGGGAAUAGCCCAGAGAAAUUUGGAUUAAUGCCCCAUAGUAUAUUGGAGUGGCAUCACUUUGAUAUUAAAGAUUUAUCACUUGAAGAUGGCUGUGCGGCUGAUUAGGUAGUUGGCGGGGUAACGGCCCACCAAGCCUACGAUCAGUAACUGGUGUGAGAGCACGACCAGUCACACGGGCACUGAGACACGGGCCCGACUCCUACGGGAGGCAGCAGUAAGGAAUAUUGGUCAAUGGACGAAAGUCUGAACCAGCCAUGCCGCGUGGAGGAUGAAGGUCCUCUGGAUUGUAAACUUCUUUUAUAUGGGACGAAAAAAGGCUUUUCUAAGUCGUCUGACGGUACCAUAUGAAUAAGCACCGGCUAACUCCGUGCCAGCCGCCGCCGUAAAAC